AUGGCGCCCUCAUCAUCACCGCUGCCGGGCCGUCUCGUCAUACUCUACGCAUCGCAAACCGGCAACGCCAUAGAUGCUGCUGAACGUGUAGGCCGAGAGGCUGAGCAUGGGGGCUGCCCAGCUGUCGACGUUCUCUCCAUGGAUAGCUUUAAUCCCAGUUGUUUGCCUGACGAAAGGUUUAUGAUCUUCAUUGUGUCUACCACGGGGCAGGGAGAUCCCCCAGAUUCCAUGAAGAAUUUUUGGAAAUACCUUCUGAGAAAUCAUCUGGGUGCGCGAUGGCUGAAAGGAUUGCAUUAUGCCAUGUUUGGGCUCGGCGACUCAAGCUAUAGGGAGUACAAUGUGGGUUUUCCUGCAAUCAAGCUCGAUCAAAGGCUUUUUGAUCUUGGUGCCAAACGAAUCACAGAGAGAGGCUUGGGAGAUGAUCAACAUUCUUUGGGAUACGAAGGAGAACUAGAUCCAUCGUUGUUAUCUUUGUGGAAAUCCCUGAAUCGAACAAAUCCAUCACUGCUACCAAGAGUAUCUGACGCCAGUCAUCGUAAAUUGAAUAUUUUGGGGGAUGCAAAGGUAGAAGUCAUCUAUUACUCGGCUCGGCAAGCUACUGAUAUUUCAGACUCCAAGAUAUUAAUUGAGAAAGCACGCUCAAUGUCCCCUGCUCUAAAGUGCCAUAAUAGCAGAGAGCCACAACACAUGUUACAAAUGGUAACAAAUCAGCGUUUGACAAAGGGAGACACUGACAGAGAUGUCCGCCACUUUGAAUUGGAAGAUCGGCGUUCUGCCAUCAGUUAUCAAGUUGGUGAUGUUCUAGAAAUUUUACCAAGUCAGAAUCCAUCACUUGUUGAUGAUUUCAUUAAGCGCUGUAACUUGGAUCCCGAUUGUUACAUUACGGUUCGAACAAAGGAUGGGGACAAAGUUCCUAAAGAUCCCAUCAAGCUAAAGACCUUUGUUGCUUUGACAAUGGAUGUCACAUCAGCUUCUCCAAGGCGAUAUUUCUUCGAGGUCAUGAGCUAUUUUGCAACAGAUGAACGUGAAAAAGCAAAACUUCAGGAUUAUACUUCUCCUGAAGGAAGGGGCGACCUUUCCUGGUACAAUCAAAAUGAGAACCGGACUGUUCUAGAAGUAUUGGUGGAUUUCCCCUCGGUGCAAAUGCCUUUUGAAUGGCUGGUGCAACUGACGCCUCCGUUGAAGAAAAGAGCCUUUUCCAUAUCGUCGUCCCCCUUAGUCUACCCAAAUCAGAUACACUUGACUGUUAGUGUAGUACUCCCUCCGGUCCUUUUUACUCUGCAUAUUAGGACGCAGCAUGGUCUCUGCUCCACAUGGCUAACGGGGCUCAGUCCAGAUGAAGACGAUCAUCUUAUACCAUGUUGGAUGCGCCGAGGAUCGCUGCCUCGCCCACGGCCCUCGGUUCCUCUCCUGCUCAUCGGGCCGGGAACAGGGUGCGCGCCGUUCCGCGCAUUCGUGGAGGAAAGGGCCGCACAGAGCGCGGCGGAUCCAACUACUGCUCCUGUGAUGUUCUUCUUCGGCUGUAGAAACGAAGACAUCGAUUUCCUGUACAAGGACUUCUGGCUGAAACACGCCCAGGGGCAAGGAGGGGUGCUGUCCCACGAAAAGUGCGGCGGUUUCUUCGCCGCCUUCUCUCGGGAUCAGCCUCGGAAGGUCUACGUGCAGGACAAGAUAAAGGAGCAGGGGGCGAGAGUCCUGGACAUGCUGUGCUCCAAAUCGUCUAAGGCUGCGAUAUACGUCGCCGGGUCUUCAACCGGAAUGCCCGCCGAUGUUACGGUGGCGUUGGAGGAAGUUCUGUGUCAAGAGGGCGGUGUUCCGCGGGAGGAUGCUUCGGGGUGGCUGAAGGAUCUGAAGAGGGCUGGUAGGUUUAUCGUUGAGACCUGGUCGUAA
rnacentral:rRNA from 1 species